UGCAAGGUGAGGACUUUAGCUGCUAGGCUACCAGGCCAGGCCCAAAAUUUAGCAUUUUUAUUUAAAAACUUACAUAGUCAGUAACAAAAAUAUUGGGAAAUGGAUAAAAGAAUAAAACUACAAAAAACCCUAUAAUCCCAUUAUAUUAAUAGAAUCGUUAUCUGCUUAGGUUUUCCUCACAUUUUAAAAUUAUAGUAAUUAUAAUUGUGUAGUUUUGUGGAACUGUAGUCACUGAACUUGUAUUUGGUGUUUUGAUGCAGAAAUGCAGACAGAAAAGAGUGUUGAGUGUGAACUUUUGAGUCAAUAUUAAGGUUUCAUCGUGCUAGCAAAGUAGUCAUGAUGUGAGGCGAAGUUCCGUGGUAUUUGAGUUUGUUGAGCUGAUAACGGCAGUUUUGCCCCCUGUGAAGACGCAAGCAUUUACCGAUUGUUUUCACCCGUAGGGAGCCCAGACACAGAAGCACAGACUUGGUCAAUUUACCCAUUAGGAAACUGCUCCUGCUACCCAGAGGAAGUUAGGGCGUCUGCUUGCUGUGUGUUCCUGUUCAGGGCAGACACUGUCUGCUGUACUGGGACCGAGUAGAGAGAAGGCCAGACAAGGGGAACAGUAAAGCAAGGGUGGUUUCAAACUCAGUGGCAAGGGAGUCGUUGUGACACGCUUCCAGUUGCUCUGGCUAGAAACUCCAGCAUGAUGCUGAGUAGACGCCUUGGCAGCACACGCUGCUCUGUCCCUUGGCUUUGGGAUCAAUUUGUUGAGAAUUUCAUCAGUAUCACACUGAUGAUUCUGCGGUUUUACAGAACUUUUUAAACACCAGGCUUUGGAGAGCUUUGGAGAAGAUUGAAAAUUGGAGAUGAGGAGUGGACCCAAUUCAGAUGAUCAACAUCUCUUCAAAAAGUUGUAUCACUGGAUUCCACUCAAGGCAGAGAAAUUUAACAAUGGAAUACCUUGAACCCAGGUACUUCAAUAAGGAUGUGGAUGUUGCAAGCAGCACCUUACCUGCAGUGCCAAACAUCUGUCCCUCCCUGAUUCUACAAGCUUGAAAGGUACAGUUGAAUAGAAGACCCUACUUCUAUGUUGGAAAGCAAAGAAUCAAAAAUAAUCUGGGAAUGGAAAGGUAGUGUGGCCUCAGUCAGCAUUCAUUCAUUACUGUCUUAUUUUUCUGACUGGAUCCUAGGCUACUGUGUUAGAGAAGAACACACUCUUUGAAGCUUGCAACUUGAUUGUAAAUACUAGCAUUGGAGAGAUGCUGUAACUGGAAAUUAAUUCUAUAAUCAGAGCAGUCAUUCUGGUCAGCUCCUUUGGCUGUAUGAGAUGGUAACUCAGUCCCUGCCUGAGCCUGAGUAAAAUAUGUAAGAGCAUAGGGUUCUGCACAUCCUGUCCUCUGUCACCACAGUGGACUCAAGUGCAUGGUGUGUGUGUGUUGAAUAUUUAUACAUGUUACAUGUUUCUGAUCAAUAAAAUCAAUGUGAAUAUUUACACACGUUACAUGUUACCUGGAGAGACCAAUGGCUUUAAGAGCCCCAAGAAGAUAGACAAUGGAGAGAUUAACUUGUGGGGCAGAAAGUAGCCAAGAAACAGACCUAAAAGUUCUACCAAAAUGUGGAGACACAAAGGGCCUGUGGUUCACUAUCAGACAU